rnacentral:misc_RNA from 1 species
AUUUACGUCACGUAAAUAAUGGAAAACAAUCACCAGACACAAAUUCAGACCACUAAAACAUCAAGAUUCAAACGCAUAUGUGUUUUUUGUGGAAGCAGUCCAGGCAAAAAGCCAAGUUAUCAACUUGCUGCUAUUCAACUUGGCAAUCAACUGGUUGAAAGGAACAUCGACUUGGUUUAUGGAGGUGGCAGUGUGGGCUUGAUGGGCCUAGUUUCUCAAUCAGUUUUUAAUGGUGGCCGCCACGUGUUAGGGGUGAUU